CAGCCGCCGCGGUAAUACAGAGGGUGCAAGCGUUAAUCGGAAUUACUGGGCGUAAAGCGUGCGCAGGCGGUUAUAUAAGACAGAUGUGAAAUCCCCGGGCUCAACCUGGGAACUGCAUUUGUGACUGUAUAGCUAGAGUACGGCAGAGGGGGAUGGAAUUCCGCGUGUAGCAGUGAAAUGCGUAGAUAUGCGGAGGAACACCGAUGGCGAAGGCAAUCCCCUGGGCCUGUACUGACGCUCAUGCACGAAAGCGUGGGGAGCAAACAGGAUUAGAUACCCCUGUAGUCCCUGUCUCUUAUAC
rnacentral:rRNA from 1 species